rnacentral:lncRNA from 1 species
AUGUCCAUCCCAGGAGAAGACAGUCCUUGGCUAUGGCGAGCUGCAGCUGUAUUUGAAUUCUAUGGCUACAGAUCACAGAAGGACUUGGAAACAUCAAAAGCUGUUGUUCAGCUUUGGGAGCACUCAGCAGGGCUCUGGAAAGAUGGUCACUGCAAAGCGCCACGACUCUUAACGGCUCUCCGGAAUCUUCUUAGCACUGGAAGGCUCAUGCAAUGGACUUGCCUCUCAGACUGGCUUGUGACCGUGAUGUCAUGGAUCGUCCGCCUCCAGAUCCUGAUCCCAGUUUUGAAUACAGUGUAUGCUUUCGCACAUGACUUUAGGGCAGAUAAGGGAAGAAAGGUGGAGUUCCUGAGGAUUCAGGCUCUACUUCUAGGUAUUAGUGUGGUUAAGGUUUUGAAAAGUCUACACUCAGACAAUAGUACAUUGGAGAAACCAUCACAGCGAAAUAAAGGCUCCUAUUCACAUGGUGUGUGUAAAAGAGCAUUUACUAUAAAUUUCUCAGAAUGACAGGAAGCAGCAAACAACUUGAAGCCCAAUAAGGGGUUGUUUUUUAAAAGUGGAGUUCUUCCACACAAGAGCUUUACAGUUUUAAAAAUUAAUUUGGCCGUAUGUGUGACAACCUGGAAAGGAGCUUGUUUAGUUAGACAAACAAGUUUCAAAUGAUGCAAUUGCCAUAGCAACGGUGUGUACCUCAUGCAUGCACAUACUUUCAUGUGCAUACACGCAUUCACGUGUGUGCACAACAUGUACCUAUGCACACUGUGUAUAUAUGCAAACAAUAUGCAUACAUGCACACACAUGUGCCCACACACAUUGCAUGUUAUAUAAUUUGCAGGAGUGAAACUCCACACAGGAAAAUGUCAAUGGUGCACAGAUUAAGGUGUGUGUUUGCACAUCUGUGCAUGCAUGUGAAAGCCAAAGGGCAUCCUUGGUUUUCUCAAAAGCCAUCACUUUGCUUUUGGGGGAUGGAGUCUCUCAGUUCUCUGCUGCUUGCCAGGUAGGCUAGGAUGGUUGACAGUUCAAUGGUCUUUUGGGUCUUUACCUCUGCAGUGUGGGGUUACAAGCACAUUAACACCAUUCCUCCCUCUCUCCUUCCCUCCCUCCCUCCCUCCCUCCCAUCUCCUUUCCUCCCCAACCCCCCACCCCCUGGCCUCUCUCUCAACAUGGGUUCUGAGGAUCAGGUUCAGCUUUCCACGCCUGCAAGGAAAACACUUCACUGACUUAUUUCUCCAGUGUGGUGAAGUCUUAAAUGAAAAUCUAACACAGUUUAGAGGAAAGUGAUCAUGGUGGCUAAAUGGUCAAUGAACAAAACGGGUGAACUUGUUCAUGGCUUUACUUGGCUGCAUGGGCUCACUGAGUUUUCAGGCUACCUGAGAUCAGUCACAUAUAGUAUGUGAGAAUCAAGGCUGCAGCACUUCUCAGAAAUAUAUAUAACAAACGGAAUGUAGGGUUUUACUGCUGUGAACAGACACCAUGACCAAGCCAACUCUUGUAAGGACAACAUUUAACUGGGACUGGUUUACAGGCUCAGAGCUUCAGUCCAUUAUCGAGGCGGGAGCACAGCAGCAUCCAGGCAGGCAUGGUACAGGAGGAGCUGAGAGUUCUACCUCUUCCCCUGGAGAAGACUGGCUUCUAGGAUGAGGUUCUUAAGGCCCAUACCCACAAUGAUUCACUUCCUCCAACAAGGCUACACCUACUCCAAGGCCACACCCCCCAAUAGUGCCACUCCCUGGACCAAGACUAUUCAAUCCACCACAGAGGAUUGUGUUUUUUGGUAUAGAACUUACAGCUUUUAGAGUCUCCCUGUUCAUUGCAACACCUGAUAAGCCAUUGAUCAUACUUGUAUUUAACCAGUAAGAACCGAUUUACAAGACUCCAGAAGUAUCUGAGCCUAUCAGAAUGCAGACUGUACUAGAGUUGGCCAUUUGGCCAAGUCUUUCCAGAUAAGUGUCACCAGGCCAGGCACCCAGCUUUACACCUCCUAGUGCAGAAAGCCUCACAUGUGUGACCCACAGUCGUUUCUGCAAAAGAGUUCUUAAGAAAAAUAUGCAUUGAACUACUGUACAGGGGAUGGUGAAUGGUUGCCAGCUAGUAUUGGUGGUGAUAGGGGGUGCUUGGGUUUGCUGUAAAACGCUAAAUAUGAAUGCCUUGAAAAGGAAGACAUAGGUGGUUUUUAGCAAGUAGAUAAAGCUAUGUCUGUUGUGACAGCAUUUUGGAAUAUUUUGGUAACUUCAGCUCUUCUGUGUCUCCAAAGAGGUUUAUACUCCAUCAUAAACCAUUGAGAAAAAUGAAUAUGUAUCUUUGGGCCCUUCUCAUCCAGAAAGAAAGGUAGGUAACCUGGGUAUUAGAUUUCAGAGGGUAUAUGUGGUUUGGAUGUGUUCUAUGUGCAUGUUCAUGGGGGUGCAUGAGUGCGUGUGCAUAUGUGUAUGCAUAAAUGUCUAUAUGUGUAUGGAGACCUGAGGUCGAUGUCCAG